rnacentral:rRNA from 1 species
GUGCUAAUCUGCGAUAAGCGCCGGUAAGGUGAUAUGAACCGUUAUAACCGGCGAUACCCGAAUGGGGAAACCCAGUGUGAUUCGUCACACUAUCAUUAACUGAAUCCAUAGGUUAAUGAGGCGAACCGGGGGAACUGAAACAUCUAAGUACCCCGAGGAAAAGAAAUCAACCGAGAUUCCCCCAGUAGCGGCGAGCGAACGGGGAGGAGCCCAGAGCCUGAAUCAGCAUGUGUGUUAGUGGAAGCGUCUGGAAAGGCGCGCGAUACAGGGUGACAGCCCCGUACACAAAAGCGCAUGUGCUGUGAGCUCGAUGAGUAGGGCGGGACACGUGGUAUCCUGUCUGAAUAUGGGGGGACCAUCCUCCAAGGCUAAAUACUCCUGACUGACCGAUAGUGAACCAGUACCGUGAGGGAAAGGCGAAAAGAACCCCGGCGAGGGGAGUGAAAAAGAACCUGAAACCGU